rnacentral:rRNA from 1 species
UAAGGAAUAUUGGUCAAUGGAGGCAACUCUGAACCAGCCAUGCCGCGUGAAGGAUUAAGGCCCUCUGGGUUGUAAACUUCUUUUAUAUGGGAAGAAAUGUUCUGAUUCUUCAGAGCUUGACGGUACCAUAGGAAUAAGCACCGGCUAACUCCGUGCCAGCAGCCGCGGUAAUACGGAGGGUGCGAGCGUUAUCCGGAUUUACUGGGUUUAAAGGGUGCGUAGGUGGGCUUAUAAGUCAGUGGUGAAAUCUCCGAGCUUAACUUGGAAACUGCCGUUGAUACUAUAGGUCUUGAAUUAUCUGGAGGGUAGCGGAACAUGUCACGGAGCGGUGAAAUGCUUAGAUAUGACAUAGAACACCAAUUGCGAAGGCAGCUUACUACAUAUAAAUUGACGCUGAGGCACGAAAGCGUGGGGAUCAAACA